GACGGAGGGUGCAAGAGUUAUCCGGAAUGAUUGGGCGUAAAGCGUUCGCAGGUGGCUGUUCAAGUCUGCUGUCAAAGACCGGGGCUUAACCCUAGAAAGGCAGUGGAAACUGGACGGCUGGAGUGCAGUAUGGGUAGAGGGAAUUCCCAGUGUAGCGGUGAAAUGCGUAGAGAUUGGGAAGAACACCGGUGGCGAAAGCGCUCUGCUGGACUGCAACUGACACUGAGGGACGAAAGCUAGGGGAGCGAAAGGG
rnacentral:rRNA from 1 species